GACAGAGGGGGCAAGCGUUGCUCGGAAUCACUGGGCGUAAAGGGCGCGUAGGCGGGAUGGCAAGUCAGUCGUGAAAUCUCUCGGCUCAACCGAGAAACGUCGGCUGAUACUGCCGUUCUUGAGGGAUGCAGAGGAGACUGGAAUUCCCGGUGUAGCGGUGAAAUGCGUAGAUAUCGUUUGGAACGCCAAUGGUGAAAACAGGUUGCUGGGAGUGUGCUGACGCUGAGACACGAAAGCCAGGGGAGCGAACGGG
rnacentral:rRNA from 1 species